CAAGUAACUCACAAAAACACAAAACACCUAAUAAAACCAAAAGAAAACACAUUAACAACUUAAACAUUCAAGGUGACAAACAUUAGUUGAUAGCAGUGAGACAGAGUACUUUAAGUUUGUUAUCUCAGGGGUGUAAGUUGAGACUUAGUCCAAGAGAUUUAAUCAAAGUCCACAAGCUGGUAUGAGGUGAUGGCAUCGUCCUCCUGGUUCUAGGCAUCCCGACAUCAGUGUUUCAUUUUCGUACAUUUUUUGAGCAAGUGAGUACAUUUGGAAUUAACAUGAAGAUAACAGACUUACAGACACUAUAAGAAUAUAAACAUAAGCAAAAUUAGCUAGAGUGCAUUCAGUCAGUCAUCAUUAUGAGUAUUUAUAUUUUCCAAGAAUAGCAACAUUUUUUCCCAUAUCUUUUUGAACACACAAUAUUUACCCUUAAUCAUAAAGGUGAGUUUCUCCAAGGCAAGAGAGCUCGAUAAUGUAGACAUCCAAGUCUUUAAUUGAGGUCUGGUUACAGAUUUCCAGGACCUGGCUAUACUAUAUUUAGCCUGUACCAAACAGUAAAUUAUGGACUUUUGAUCAACCUUGCUUAUUUGAGUUUGAGUGGGAAAAAUUCCUAAGAUACACAACCUAGGACAGGGAUUAAGUUUAGUACCAACCAUACGUGAAAUUUUAUCCAAAACCUCCUUCCAAAAAUUCUGAAUCUCAGGACAUUCCCAAAGGCAGUGAAUCAAAUUGCCUUUAUCUCCACAUGUAGCACAUGUGUCCGGGACGUUGGAAUGAAAUUUAUUUAGUAAUGUUGGAGUGACAUAUGUUCUCAUCAACCAUUUGUAUUGGAUUAACUUAAAAUGAGUAUUAAUAGAUUGUGUCUGUGCCUUCAAACAGGCCCUCUGCCAUUCCUCUACUGAUAUAUUACAUUUCAAGUCUUCACCAGGCCAGUCUUUUGUGCUCUGAGGAUGUCUGGGAUACUGCCUUUCAUGAUGUUAUAAAAGCGGGAUAUUAGGCCCUUCUUCAAAUGGUAAUUUGUUGCCAGUUCUUCUAUAGAAGUAAGAAUAGGUAAAGUUAGAGACUUUUGAGUACCCAAGACAAAACUUCUGAUUUGCAUAAACUUAAAAAAAUGUUUAGUUGGAAUGUCAAAUUUCUGUUUCAAAUCUUCAAAACUCAUCAUAAUCCCUUUAUCAAAUAAAUCUGACAUUUUGCAUAAACCUUUAGCAUACCAUGUUUUAAAACCCAUGUCUUUGAACCUACCUGGUUCAAAUGUCAAGUUGCCCCAGAUCAGGGAUAAUUGGGAUUGUGUUGGUAUUUCAUUUUUGAAUUUAUGUACAUCAUACCGUACUCGGAUAGUGUUAAGUAUCGGGGGUUUUUUUGUCCUUUUUGGGGUUUUCUUUUCCUUUUUGUUCGUCUGUGGUUCCGUUGGUUGUCCACCGGAUAGCGCCAGAGGCUGCCUCCCGGGCAGGACACCUGUUGGUCAUCAUCUAAUCAUCCUGAGGUUUAAGAGGAGCGGACUGACUGCACUUCUUCGCCUGAGUGUUUGCCAGUGAUGGUGUUCCUAGCGACGCCGUGUGAUCUCCUCGUAAAGAUCUCGUUCUGGCCCUUUGGAUAACCCAUCCUCGUGACGCCGUGGUGAAUACCCACUGGUUGUCCGAGUCCCUCUUCAAUCUCCUCAGUUGGAUCUCAAGCCGAACCAGGACCUGCCAGUUAGCAGUAGGACCGCUCCUCUGCCUCCCUCCACGCCUGGAUCUACCUGUACGUCCUCCACUGCAGCCUCCAUGUAGCAACCCGGAACCACCCCCAUCGAGCAGUACUCUGGAAUCCAGAUCACCUCCCAGGACCUGCAAAAUAGGAGACGAACCCCGAGCCUACAGCCUACCCUCUCCCAGCAGUCAUUAUUCGACAAUACAAGUAAGAUCGUUCCAGUAGUACCCGUGUAGCUCUCAUUUCCUACAACCUUGAACUCAACGUUUUAUCUGUUGUCCUUCAUUGUGCCAGCGACUCCGUGACCCUGCCCCCCUCCUGGAAAGACCCUGAACCAUCUUAUUUUGCUCAAUUGUAUUCAAUAAACAUUAUACUACUGAUUUCUUUACUCCUGUCGUUCUCUGCAUGUGGGUUAAAAAACUAGAUCCAAACAUGACAGACAGUGUUUUUAACAAAUGGGUUUGAAGUAUUAUUUAAUAACUCUUUGCAUUUCCUUGAGUAUAGAUAUGAAUUUAGGGUUAAGGGAGUGUUUUUUAUAUUUUCUAUAUUUACCCACAACGGAGCAGUUGCUGAAAACCAGCAGGAUGCACUAGAGAGCUGAGCAGCCCAAUAACACCACUUGAAAUUUGGCACACCUAGCCCUCCUCUGUCAUACAGAAGAUAUAAUAAUGAUAAACAUAAUCUGGCUCGUCUGUUGUUCCAAAUGAAGUUAUUUAGGAUUGUUUGAAUUUUUGUAAAAAAAACCGUCGGGAGGAUUAAAAGGGAUGGUUUGGAAAAGAUAUAGGCAUUUAGGGAGACUUUGAGAGUAUUUAUUCGGCCAAUCAUAGAUAUAGGUAAGGUAGACCAUCUAUCAAGUGAUUCCAUUAUUGAAUUAACCACCAGUGUGUAGUUUGCCCGAAGCAGAUCAUCCAUGUUUGGAGUAAUUUUUAUGCCUAAGUAAGGCUGUCUUUCUUUUGCCACCUGAAAUGUUGUGUGAAUUGGAGGAUUAUUUCUUUCAGCCUGUUUUUAAAAUAGGAUGGCGGAUUUAGAUUCAUUGAGUUUAUAACCGGAAAUAUAACUAAACUCAUUGAUAGUUUUAAGUAGUUGGGGGAUUGAGCAAUUUAGAUUGGACAACAUUAAAAUAAUAUCAUUGGCAAAUAGUCCAAUUUUAGAUUCAAUAUUUUGUAUUCUGACACCAUGUAUGUUUUGAUUAUUCCUUAUGGCAAUAGCCAAUGGCUCAAUUCCCAGAACAAAGAGGAGGGUUGAGAGGGGACAGCCUUGACUUGUACCCCUAGCUAGAUUAAAUGAUUUAGAUACAAUGAUAUUAUUUAUAACUGAGGCAGAGGGUUUAUUAUAAAUUAUUUUAUGAAAUAACUACCGAAACCGAAUUGAGAGAGAACUUUGUAGAGAUAAUUAUGUUCCACUCUAUCGAAUGCUUUUUCUGCAUCAAGUGAAAGCAAAGCUGUAUUGGGAUGUUCAUAUUUAGCAUGAAUUAUAUUCAGUACACGACGGAUACCAUGGUGAGCUUGCCGCCCCUUUAUAAAUCCGUUCUGAUCAGGGUCAGAAAGGGAUGGUAAAAAUUUCUCAAGCUUGAUUGCUAGAACUUUAGAUAUUAUUUUGGCAUCAGAGUUUAUAAGUGAGAUUGGUCGGAGGGAUUCGCAUCUAGUGGGAGAUUUCCCAGGUUUAGGUAGAACUGUUAUGAUCGCAUUUCGCAAGGAAGGAGGUAAUUCUUUAAUGGUAUAACUUUCCAAUAGCAUAUCAUAGAGGGGAUGCAGUAAUUUGUUUUUAAAUAUUUUAUAUAGGUCCAAAGGAAUCCCAUCUGGACCAGAUGAUUUUCCUGAUUUUAAUUUAUCUAUUGCAUUUGAGAGUUCAUCGGUAGAUAUUGGCAUAUCCAGUUCUGAUUUAGCUUUUCACUAAGUGGGGAUGUUUAUAGAAUUAAGAAAGGAGUCAAGUGAUGCUUGUGGUAUGUGCCCUUUAGAUGUAUAAAAUUUUGAGUAAUAAUCUUUAAAGAGAUCAUUCAUUUUUUGAGGAUCAGUAGUGUUUUCAUUUGCAGUUGUAAUUUCCCUGAUCGUAGUAAAAUUGUUUCAAUCUGAACAUCUCUGAUGAAGCUUUGUUAGUAGAUAGUUUGUCAUAUUUUGCUCUCAAUAUUAGCAGUUCUUGUUGCUUUUCUUUAGAACCCUUUAGAUUUAUCUCAAGCUCAGUCUCUUUUAUUUGUUCUUCAAGUUUUAGCAUCUCCAUGAUAGUUCAAUUAGCUUUAUUUUUUGUGUAGCUUAUCAUCUGACCCAAUAGAUGCUGUAGUCUCAGAUUUAUUAAGGCUAAAGUAAUCAUUAAUAUUUAUCUCAAUAUAUUUCAGAAAUUUGGGGCAUUUGCAACCAGUGAGGUUUUAAUUGCCAAAUAGGAUUACAUCUAAACGCAAUUAAGGGUGAAAAUUUAAGCAUGCAUAGUGAGUGGUCGGAGAUCAAUAUGCUUUUGUAGGCACAACUCUUAAUUCUGGUAACCAAAGAGUUUGAAAUUACAAAAUAAUCUAUACGGCUAUAGCUAUUAUGAGUAGUUGAGUGGCAUGAAUAUUCUUUCUUUGUUGCAUUCUGUAUUCACCUUAUAUCUCUUAAAUUUAGUUCAGACAUAAAAUGUUGUAUAACCCGUCUACUUUUAGGGUGGGAUCAAUCUAAACCUGAUGAUCGGUUGAGAUUAGGAUCUCACCAGCUGUGUGUUGGGCCCACGCUGUUUGCUGGCUGUGGUGGGUUGGAGGAAACCGUUUUAAAGUGAUUCUUUUAAGUAAGUUGUGCUGAUAUGGUGUUUUUAUACAGGACUGCAUUGGUGUUCGGGUGGUAGCGUUACCUGGGCGUGGUUGUUCGAUGCCGCAGGUAGGUUUUACACAUUGGUCCUUUUAAUCCGAAUGAAUUGUAUGUUUAUAUAUUGUUUUUAUUUGCUAGAGUUGCACCAGAUCGGCUACAUCAAGGUUUGAUCUGAGAGUGUUGAUUUAUGCAAUGCAGUUUUUGCACUGCCUCCUGCUGUCCUUUCAGCGUUUGUUUUUUUUUUCUUUUUGUUAGUCUGCCCAGUUAGGAUUGUUUUUUCUUCUGUAGUGCUUGUGAGGGUGGGUUAAUAUGGAGCCCCCUAGGGGACAUGG